UUUUUUUUCUUUUUUUUUUUUUUUCCCUUCU
rnacentral:ribozyme from 1 species